rnacentral:rRNA from 1 species
UACGGAGGAUCCAAGCGUUAUCCGGAUUUAUUGGGUUUAAAGGGUGCGUAGGCGGCUUAUUAAGUCAGGGGUGAAAGACGGUGGCUCAACCAUCGCAGUGCCUUUGAUACUGAUGAGCUUGAAUGAACUAGAGGUAGGCGGAAUGUGACAAGUAGCGGUGAAAUGCAUAGAUAUGUCACAGAACACCAAUUGCGAAGGCAGCUUACUAUGGUGUUAUUGACACUGAGGCACGAAAGCGUGGGGAUCAAACAGG